rnacentral:tRNA from 1 species
GCCUGGGUGGCUCAGUCGAUUGAGCCUCUGACUUUGGCUCAGGUCAUGAGCUCACGGUUCGUGAGUUCAAGCCCCACAUUGGGCU